rnacentral:rRNA from 1 species
UGCAAGUCGAACGGUGAAGCCCUUCGGGGUGGAUCAGUGGCGAACGGGUGAGUAACACGUGGGCAAUCUGCCCUGCACUCUGGGACAAGCCCUGGAAACGGGGUCUAAUACCGGAUAUGACCUUCCUCCGCAUGGGGGUUGGUGUAAAGCUCCGGCGGUGCAGGAUGAGCCCGCGGCCUAUCAGCUUGUUGGUGGGGUAAUGGCCUACCAAGGCGACGACGGGUAGCCGGCCUGAGAGGGCGACCGGCCACACUGGGACUGAGACACGGCCCAGACUCCUACGGGAGGCAGCAGUGGGGAAUAUUGCACAAUGGGCGAAAGCCUGAUGCAGCGACGCCGCGUGAGGGAUGACGGCCUUCGGGUUGUAAACCUCUUUCAGCAGGGAAGAAGCGCAAGUGACGGUACCUGCAGAAGAAGCACCGGCUAACUACGUGCCAGCAGCCGCGGUAAUACGUAGGGUGCGAGCGUUGUCCGGAAUUAUUGGGCGUAAAGAGCUCGUAGGCGGCCUGUCGCGUCGGAUGUGAAAGCCCGGGGCUUAACCCCGGGUCUGCAUUCGAUACGGGCAGGCUAGAGUGUGGUAGGGGAGAUCGGAAUUCCUGGUGUAGCGGUGAAAUGCGCAGAUAUCAGGAGGAACACCGGUGGCGAAGGCGGAUCUCUGGGCCAUUACUGACGCUGAGGAGCGAAAGCGUGGGGAGCGAACAGGAUUAGAUACCCUGGUAGUCCACGCCGUAAACGUUGGGAACUAGGUGUUGGCGACAUUCCACGUCGUCGGUGCCGCAGCUAACGCAUUAAGUUCCCCGCCUGGGGAGUACGGCCGCAAG